rnacentral:rRNA from 1 species
AGGACGAACGCUGGCGGCGUGCUUAACACAUGCAAGUCGAGCGAGGCCCCUCCUUCGGGAGGGUGUCCUAGCGGCGAACGGGUGAGUAACACGUGGGCAACCUGCCCUCAGCUCUGGGAUAACCCCGGGAAACCGGGGCUAAUACCGGAUACGACCUCCUUAGGCAUCUGAGGUGGUGAAAAGUUUUUCGGCUGAGGAUGGGCCCGCGGCCUAUCAGCUUGUUGGUGGGGUGAUGGCCUACCAAGGCGACGACGGGUAGCCGGCCUGAGAGGGUGACCGGCCACACUGGGACUGAGACACGGCCCAGACUCCUACGGGAGGCAGCAGUGGGGAAUAUUGCGCAAUGGGCGAAAGCCUGACGCAGCGACGCCGCGUGGGGGAUGAAGGCCUUCGGGUUGUAAACCCUUUCAGCAGGGACGAAGCGAAGUGACGGUACCUGCAGAAGAGCGCCGGCUAACUACGCGCCAGCAGCCGC